GGAUUUCUUAGCUUAGUUCGGAUCAACAACACAAACAGACGAGUGAAUGGUUGUAUUACUGUAAUAAAAAAAACUAUGUAAGACAGCUUGGAAGUAAAAAUAAUGUCUCGAUGCAAUUAUUCAUAUACAGUAGUCAUUAAUAGCUGUGUAACUGAUUAAUGUGAAGAGUCCAAAACUCAGAUUACAAUGUAUGUUCUGUAUGUAGUGUUUAUUGUGAAUAUAAUGCAACAAUGUGUGUUAAUUUUCAGUAGACAUUUAAAACCACCACUGAUGAAAUCAGUAAUUAUGAUGGUAAAAUACUG